GUGGUAAUUCAGCAGAGCAGAUACAAAAUUGAAGGCAAGGUUAUUUACUAGCUAACUAGUGUUUUUGAAUGAUAUCUGAAAACCACAUGUUCUAUAGAUCAGAUGGUCAGAAUAUUCAUAAUUGAUCAAAAAACGGUUUCUCAACCAGUAAUGCACACCACUCAACACAAUUCAUUUCAAACAUUGACUAAAAAUCCAUGAAGUUGACUGAGGAAAAUUCUUUCUAAGUUUCAGGUGAAACAGCAGGAAGCUAUUGGCGCUGGAUGGUCAGCCUUGAGGGCCACUUCAUAUGUGAGGGGAUCCAGCCCACCUUCUUGAUGGGGCUUGCUGCAUUAUUUUCCACCUUCUACACCUGCACGCUCAAAUUAAUCUCAAGGUGCACCGUAGGAAUAAACCCUGAGAGAGGCACCAAGGAUGGACAGGGCAAAGUCUUCUCAAAGAAAACUGGCAAAUUCACGAGCUACAAGACAAGACUACAACCGUAUAUCCACAUGUAUCCACUCUGCUGAUGGGACUCAUGGACUUGAGUGGGACUUCAUUUAAAAUGUCAGCGGGCUACCAAGGCUGGAUUGAGAGAACUGGUGUCUUUGAGUGGGCCAUAAGUCAUUCACUAACUCACUCCCCGACCAUCGCCCAAUACUUGGACUUCCACACUUAUCCAUGUGCCUUGUUAGAGACUGAAUAUUCAUACUUGGACAUGAUGUCACAUGUCUGGUGGUGUUGGUGCUCAUUAUGAUAUAAGGCAAAAUAUUAUUUGAAAGUUUUGUUUUAACUCUAU